rnacentral:rRNA from 1 species
UGUCCGGAUUUACUGGGUGUAAAGGGUGCGUAGGCGGCUUUGCAAGUCAGAUGUGAAAUCUAUGGGCUCAACCCAUAAACUGCAUUUGAAACUGUAGAGCUUGAGUGAAGUAGAGGCAGGCGGAAUUCCCCGUGUAGCGGUGAAAUGCGUAGAGAUGGGGAGGAACACCAGUGGCGAAGGCGGCCUGCUGGGCUUUAACUGACGCUGAGGCACGAAAGCGUGGGUAGCAAACAGGAUUAGAUACCCUGGUAGUCCACGCUGUAAACGAUGAUUACUAGGUGUGGGGGGUCUGAACACUUCCGUGCCGGAGU